AACGAACGCUGGCGGCAGGCCUAACACAUGCAAGUCGAGCGCCCCGCAAGGGGAGCGGCGCACGGGUGAGUAACACGUAGGUAACCUGCCCCCCAGUCUGGAACAACUAGAGGAAACUCUAGCUUAUGCCGGAUGAGACCACGAUCCCUUCGGGGGUUGCGGCCAAAGAUGGCCUCUACUUGUAAGCUAUCGCUGAGGGAUGGGCCUGCGGGCCAUUAGCUUGUUGGUGAGGUAACGGCUCACCAAGGCUGUGAUGGCUAGCUGGUCUGAGAGGAUGACCAGCCACACUGGGACUGAGACACGGCCCAGACUCCUACGGAGGCAGCAGUGGGGAAUAUUGCGCAAUGGGCGAAAGCCUGACGCAGCGACGCCGCGUGGGUGAUGAAGGCCU
rnacentral:rRNA from 1 species